rnacentral:lncRNA from 1 species
UGGAAAUUGAUAUAAGAAGCCAAGUGAGGACUCAGAGUUGUUUUCACGUAUUCUGCAUCAGAGUCAGAGAAAAGGGAGAAACGCUGAGGAGAAAGAGAAGGAAGAGGAAAAGGCCAAAGACUGCUCAGAGCUUCCUUCAAUCCAAAGAGGUAAGGGGUCUGAAUCUUAUUAAACGAUAAUAUGCGAGCAAAUUUAUGAUAUCGGUUGGAUUGUUAAUGAAUUUUGGGGAUUUUAGGGAGAUUGGAAAAGUUGGGGUUUUGAUGGAAAAUUCUCCGAUCUGUGAGUUCUGUUGCGUUAUAUGCACUGUAAUCGAAGUAUGUUGUGUAUAUAUGACUGUUAAAUGUCAAUUUUGGGUUGUUAGCUGUGGGGUACGGGUUAUGGCGAGUAGAGAAGCAAAGCUGCGCUGAUUUCUGCAGCAGAGGGUUCUGUUCGCGCGCGAUUCGCGGCGCGAAGCCCAGUUCGCGGCGCGAACUGGGCAGGAUUGAGAGGAGUUCUGUAAUUCAUUGUUCGCGGCGCGAACCCUGCUUCGCGGCGCGUACUGAAGCGAAAUGAAUUGUUCGCGACGCGAUCCUUCGUUCGCGGCGCGAACUGUGUUGUAUUGGAGAGUUCGCGGCGCGUCCCUAUGUUGGCGGCGCGAACUGGAGAAAUGCAGAAGUUAAUGUUGGUGGGUUUUGAGUACGUUGAGUUGCGAGACUCUUAGUAAGUCGCUGUAGUUGUAUUAUAAACAAUUAAUAGUGAUUAUAUGAUUGUGUAUGAAGUGUUUUAUGAUGAUGAGAUGUUGAAAUUACGUGUUAGUUACGAAUGUGUUAUGUGACGAUGUGAUAUCGUUAGGAUGUUGUUGUUGUUUUGUUGAGUUGUAUGUCAUGCUAUUAAUGAUGAUGAUAACGUGACUAUAUGAUGUUGUUGUUGUUAUGUUGAUUAUGAUGCAUGUUUGAUGUGCAUGCAUUCAUGAAAGGCCGAUGCCUAGUGAUGAACGGACUGAGUUCCAAUGAUGUUGUUGACUCCGGGCUUGUUGAGAGGCUUGGUUCCUUGCGGGGAACUCGGAUUCUAUGGUGAUGAAUCUGGGAGUGGUGAUCCUGUAGUUGGUCACAAAAUGGGUAUACCGAGUCGUGUUGAGUCAUGCAUGGGUGUGUGCAUUGCAUUUGAUAUGUUGUUUUGUUGAUGUUCAUGAGUAUGUUGAUUAUGAUGAUUAUGAUGAGCUGUGUUGGCAUAUGUGAAAUAUAUUUAUGUUUAUAUUUCUGUCGUUAUAUUAUUAUUUAAUAAUGUAAUUCUCACCCCUUCUGCAUGUGUUUAUGUUCAUCUAUGAUGAGCAAUGUGCAGAUAAAGAGGAGUAGCUAUUGUUGAGGUUUGAAGAAUAAGUGUAGAGUUAUUCUACAGAGUCGAGUCAAAUGCUCUGGUCAUGUGACACCGGGGUUAUGGGAUUCGAUAGAUAUUUGGUUAUUAUUUAAGUUGUUUAUGAUGACUAAUAUGUUGAGAUAUUUUGUUGAGAAAAUGUUGAAACAUUAUUAUAAUAUUUGUGUGGUUGUCCGCUGCGAAAUUUUAAUAAAAUAAUUAAUAUGUUUUGUUUAUUGUGCUGCGAUAAGUGUUAUGUUGUAAGAAAUGUAAACUCUUCUACA